rnacentral:rRNA from 1 species
AUUGAACGCUGGCGGCAGGCCUAACACAUGCAAGUCGAGCGGAUGAAGGGAGCUUGCUCCUGGAUUCAGCGGCGGACGGGUGAGUAAUGCCUAGGAAUCUGCCUGGUCGUGGGGGAUAACGUCCGGAAACGGGCGCUAAUACCGCAUACGUCCUGAGGGAGAAAGUGGGGGAUCUUCGGACCUCACGCUAUCAGAUGAGCCUAGGUCGGAUUAGCUAGUUGGUGGGGUAAAGGCCUACCAAGGCGACGAUCCGUAACUGGUCUGAGAGGAUGAUCAGUCACACUGGAACUGAGACACGGUCCAGACUCCUACGGGAGGCAGCAGUGGGGAAUAUUGGACAAUGGGCGAAAGCCUGACCCAGCCAUGCCGCGUGUGUGAAGAAGGUCUUCGGAUUGUAAAGCACUGUAAGUUGGGAGGAAGGGCAGUAAGUUAAUACCUUGCUGUUUUGACGUUACCAACAGAAUAAGCACCGGCUAACUUCGUG